GCCACGGUCACGACCAACCACCAUCUUCUCACCUCCAUUAUUUUCUCUAUCCAACAACCACCCAAAAACACCACCCAUGGCCACCUACCAGUACCUUCAUUGGCGCCACCCGUGCAUCCAACAACAACCACCACAAAACCCAUUAUCGUGAAUCAAAUGAACCUAAAACGAAAAACCCCAAGUUCAGAAACCCUAACAUUCUCAAUUUGAACCCUCAUCCCCCACUUCGCAAAACCCAUACCUGCAGGAAAGAACAAAAUCCCUAACCAC
rnacentral:lncRNA from 1 species